GAACAAAAUGGUACGGAACCAUUAUUUUUUUGAUACCAUCUUCUCGCUCAAAUGCCGUCACCGCGACAAUGACCGUGGACGGGAGUGAGAUAGAGGUAGAAACCGCUCCUCUCGCAGUGGCAGUGAGUGUUCGUUCUUUUUGCACUGGUCACCUCUCUUAACGACUUGGUCUCUGUAAUCUCAACGCCUGCUCCGCCCACUCUUGCCACGUCGGUGCCAUUAAAGAGUUGGUUCUUCCGAUCUGCAGUGAUCUAAAAGAUUACAGAUUGUUUUGAAGUGUUAUUCAAAUUAAAGAAAAAAGUUAUUCAAUCGUAUGCAUUUCCUUUUCAUGUUUUCUUUUCUUUUUUGUAUUUUUUUUUUUUUUUUGCUAGAACGGAAUGCAUACAUUACAGGGUAUUUCUAUAAUGGUUUCUGUGACAAUUAUGCAGGUAUUAAACCUACGAAAAGUUUGAUACUUUUUUGAGUGGGAGAAUGACAUUUCCUUUCAAACCCAGAUAAUCAAGUUCCCAUUUCUUUUAUUUUAUUUUUCUUUUGCCUUUUCGUUUUCUUUUUAUUUUUUUUAUCCCAAAUAUAUCAUUGUAUUAUUGUUUUGUUGAAGUAUUUGGCAUUGUGAAUGCUGUAUUUGACUAUGGAAUUGGUUUCUCCAAAUUUUAGUUUAUCAAGAAAUUCAAUCUUUUAUUAUGAAUUUCUUUGUUUAUAACUGCUUUCUUCCUCUUCCUCUCUUCUUUUUUCCAUUUCAUAGAUCUAUGCUUUGGGUGCCUUGAUGAUAUACAAAAGAAGGUGAAGAUUAGAGCCUGAAGAGAUUUUCAACGAUGAUGAAGAAGCAAUAACGAUCCAGAGAAAUGGGAGGAUCUGGCUCAUGAGCUUCCUACUCCACUAGAAAUCGAGCAGAUUAUGCUUGGCUUUGCUGGUUUUUUCCCCUGCUAUCAUCUGGUUUAUGAAGUAUAAAGGCAUGAAUUGAGUUUCUUAUGAUGUCUGCUCAUAAUGUCCAGAUGGAUGAUGAGAUUCAUGUGCUGACUCUGAAGUAGAAAGAUGCAUCUUUUAAGGAGGAACCUGCUGACUGUAAGCAUACAAAAUUAAUGCCUUCUGGUUAUGCUAAGAGAAACCAAUCUGCUCCCAUGUCAGCAAAUGGGGAAAAAAAAAACUAACAGUGUGCCUCAAAAGAAGGUCAAGGCAGAAAUGAUAUGUAAUUGCUCUUGAUAAACCUGUAAUUGUCAAAGAAGUGUGCAUCAAUUACUAGAUGCUGUGCUAGAGCCUUUGCCCGUGCUCAGAUGGAGCAAUCUAACUAGGGCAUUUAGAUGUUCCUUUUUUCCAAGUGCAAAGUGCAACAAAGGCAAAUUUGCAUUUGUUGUAAUUCAAACGGUACCAAAUCUUCAAUUUGAACUUUCUUAUUUGUAGCAUAAUUGAUCUAUAUUAUAGUUUCUUUCCUUUAUUUUUCUA